CUUGAAACACGGACCGAGGAGUGUAACUUGUGCGCGAGUCAGAGGGUGUUAAACCUUACGGCGAAAUGAAAGUAAAGGUCGAUUAAUCGGCUGAGAUGGGAUCCUUGCUUUACGGCUUGGCGCACCAUCGCCCUGUCUCGAAAGCUUGCUUUUGGGCAGAGGUAGAGCGUACAGGUUGCGACCCGAAAGAUGGUGAACUAUGCUUGAGCAGAACGAAGCCAGAGGAAACUCUGGUGGAAGUUCGUAUCGGUUCUGACGUGCAAAUCGAUCGAUAGACUUGAGUAUAGGGGCGAAAGACUAAUCGAACCAUC
rnacentral:rRNA from 1 species